GGGGCUGUAACGGUUUCGACAGGGAUCAUGCAGCUGGUGAAGCUAUCCGCAAGCGAGUGCGUUAAACUGCAAAAUUAAAAUUAAACGCUAACGAAGAUUAUUCAUUAGCAGCUGCCUAAAUGCAGCCGUCGGCCUUGAGCACUCACACUUAAGAUAACCGGCGUCAUCCAUGUGAGAAACGACACAUGCAAAGCUUUGAGCAUGCGGGCGUAUCAUGAAGCUACUGAAAUCAUAAGAGUGUCUGCUCCCGUAUGAUGGAGGGAAUGUCAAAAAACAGACUAUGAUAGUAGAAGAACAGGGAAUUGGUUUUUGGACACGGGUUCAACUCCCGUCAGCUCCAGUC
rnacentral:tmRNA from 1 species